rnacentral:misc_RNA from 1 species
GCCUCAAAAUCAGCUUGGCGCCAUCGAGCACUGGCAUAUCUCAUACUCGGUGCUCUUGCAGCUUCUCAAAGCUCUGUCGAGGAACCCUGAACUGAAUUCGCCGGCUAGACGGAUAGCCAGAGUGUGUGAAAAGAUGACAGAGGUGGUAUCUCUUAUGGACAUUGACGAAGAUGAGAACCAGAACCAGAAUCAAAACCAUUCCUCGAAACCAAACAAGGGAAAAAACGUCGUCGUAGCCGGCACGCCGCCUGAUACUAAGGCCAUUCCCUGGGUGGAGAAGUAUCGCCCUCAGUCACUCGCUGAUGUAGCUGCUCAUCGCGACAUUGUCGAUACUAUUGAUAGGCUCACCAGUGAAAACAGAUUGCCCCAUCUCCUAUUGUAUGGCCCUCCUGGCACUGGAAAAACUUCAACUAUUCUUGCUGUGGCGCGAAAACUGUAUGGGACACAGUACCAGAAUAUGAUUUUGGAGCUGAAUGCAUCAGAUGACAGGGGAAUUGAUGUAGUGCGACAGCAGAUACAAGAUUUUGCUAGCACUCAGAGCUUCUCAUUUGGGUAACCUUUUAUUAUGUUGCUCUACAAUGUGUUUUUUGAAGCUUUAAAUGAUUUCAGAACAUGUAGCGGGAGAAAAUCUUUGAUAAGUUCUUCAAUUUUAUGGUCACAUUCACAAAUGAAUUGGACAAUUUCCCUUGUCAUAAUAGUGAUAAUGCAUUAUAUGUGAUUAUUUUAGUGCUUUUAUUCUCACUUCAUAUCUAACAGAGAAAUAGUUUAUUUUUGCUUUCAUUUUUCUGAAUGUGUUGCACGAGGUACAUUGGUUUUAGGCCUGAAAAGUACUGCUCAGUGGCUCUUUAUGAUUAUAGCUGAUUACUAGAGAGUAUAAUAUUUACAGGGCAAAGUCAUCUGUAAAGUUGGUCUUACUAGAUGAGGCAGAUGCCAUGACAAAGGAUGCCCAAUUUGCCUUGCGUAGAGUGAUUGAGAAAUACACCAAGAACACUCGGUUUGCACUCAUCUGCAAUCAUGUGAACAAAAUUAUUCCAGCACUGCAAUCUAGAUGUACGCGAUUUCGAUUUGCUCCUCUGGAUCCUAUACAUGUUACUGAACGACUCAAACAUGUUAUAGAGGCCGAAGGGCUUGAUGUACCUGAAAGUGGCUUGCAAGCACUUGUACGACUUAGCAAUGGUGAUAUGAGGAAGGCUUUGAACAUAUUGCAGGUUCUAAUAUUAUUUACUUUGAUGCUUCUUUGUAUGUAUUUCUGUACAGAUGGUUGCGUGACAAAAGGUGACUACUUUCAUUUUCCAUCAUGGCCUAUUGUGCGGAAUGAUCAAUGUGAUUAUGGGAAGUCAACAUCGCUGUUUCUGAAUUUAGUUUCAUGGUUGUACAUGCAAAUAUCAGUAUGUUAUAGUGUUUUUGCAUGAUGUGUUGUAUCAAAGAAUUCCCUGAUUCCCCUCUUGUUCUUUCUGUCUCUCCAUUUAGCAUAACUAAGCCUUGAAUGUGAAAUUUAGCUUUAAGAAGAAGACAAUAAUCCUUAAUGCCAAUUACGUUCUGGUUCCUAUUGGCCAUUUUGUGUUAUUGAAUUCAGAAUGAGAUAAUCCCUUUUGCUGAUCUAUGCAGUCGACACACAUGGCUUCUCAGCAAAUUACUGAAGAAGCUGUAUACCUUUGCACUGGAAAUCCAUUGCCCAGAGACGUUGAGCAAAUAUCUUACUGGCUUCUGAAUGAAUCGUUUGCAGAAAGCUUCAAACGAAUUUCUGAUAUCAAGAUUAGGAAAGGAUUGGCAUUGGUGGAUAUUGUGAAAGAAGUGACUAUGUUUGUUUUUAAGAUUAAGAUGCCAUCAGAUGUCAGAGUUCAGUUGAUUAAUGACAUGGCUGAUAUAGAGUACAGGUUGAGUUUUGGGUGCAAUGAUAAGUUGCAAUUGGGAUCACUCAUUGCUUCUUUCACUAGGGCUCGAUCUGCUCUGGUUGCUGCGGCAAAGUAGUUCUUAAGCUGCUUUUGCUUGUCAUUUCACUUCUUGCUGAUUUCGGCCCGAAACAGUUGAAUGUUUGCUUGUGCAAUCAAGUCAUCCAUGUUUAAGAUUGUAAAGUAAUCAAGUUUGCAAGUUAAAAGAGCUUUAGCUGAUUGAAAGCUUGUAGACUAUUUUGGCUUUCCCAUAUUUUUUAAUACAGUUUUUCAGCUUGUAGAGGAAUGCCCACUUUGUUAGAUGGGGAUUUUCUCCUCCCGCUUAUGUUCACUUUUUACCACUUUCUCAUUCUUCAUUAUAGUUCUCUCUCAAAACACAAAACUGGAGAACAAAAAAUGAAUAUCAAGGCACAAAGAAAGCGAACGGGGAAAAGAUGCUCUUGGGAAGAAAUCCUUCGAAAUUCAAGGGACCAAUUCAAAUUUCGGUCCAACUUUCUUUGUUCCACUUAAUUAUUUCUUUUGCUUCUGAUGUAAAAUUGUCAUGGCAAUGCAGAAUGCCCUGCUGAGCUGCACAAUGAAGCGCAACAAAAAUACUUACCAGAGAGGAUGCUGUAAACAUGUCGGAGAAAAAAAAAUUACAGAAAAAAUUAGGAGGCUGUAAACUUGUCAGAAAAUGAAAUUCUUCCUGAACAAAUUGUUGUACCAAAAUGACGGCAUGCUUUCAGACAUUCAUUCUUUCAUUGGUUUCUAUGCUCCAGAUAAUCCUAACAAGCAAACUAGUCACAUCUACUUCGAUUAUUCUUUAGAAUCAAUUCCCCUAUAUUGAUUUGCCAAAAUAACUCGUUACAAGAGUCAAGUACAACUUAUUCCUACCUACGAAAAUGCGUCCUCAGCGUAAAGCUUGAUUUAAUCACUUUCUUGACGCUAUUUCUCUAUCAUAGGCUUUAAUUGCAAAUACCUACAAAUUGACCUGUACAGCAAACUUCUAGACCUUUUUUUUUAAUAUUUUCCUAUGCCGUGGGAACAGCCCUUGACCCUUUUUCAUCUCUGCAAAUUAAUGAACACAUUGCACUUUACAUGUCAGGCAGCAUAUGUUUUGUUACAAAAAAACUGGACCUUCAAACUGUAAACACUUACAAGCAAGACAACUUCCUGCAUCCCAUUGGAUGAGAUGAAUGAAUAUUAAUUAUUCUUCUCUCAUUUGGUUGAUUGCCGUUCCUGAUUUCAGUGGGUUUCUUGUAUAAAAUGCCUAAACCCUUCACAGGCUAUCAUUCUGAUGGCCUGUU